CCUACGGGGGGCUGCAGUGAGGAAUAUUGGUCAAUGGGCGGAAGCCUGAACCAGCCAAGUAGCGUGCGGGAUGAAGGCCCUACGGGUCGUAAACCGCUUUUGCACGGGGAUAACACCCUCCACUUGUGGAGGUCUGCAGUUACCGUGCGAAUAAGGGCCGGCUAAUUCCGUGCCAGCAGCCGCGGUAAUACGGAAGGCCAGAGCGUUAUCCGGAUUCAUUGGUCGUAAAGGGAGCGUAGGCGGGCGUUCAAGUCAGCUGUAAAAUCGCGCGGCUCAACCGACCGCCGCAGUUGAAACUGGACGCCGUGAGUUCACAACAGGCAGGCGGAAUUCGUGGUGUAGCGGUGAAAUGCAUAGAUAUCACGAGGAACCCCGAUUGCGAAGGCAGCCUGCCGGGGUGCGACUGACGCUGAGGCUCGAAGGUGCGGGUAGCAAACAGGAUUAGAUACCCCGGUAGUC
rnacentral:rRNA from 1 species